rnacentral:rRNA from 1 species
UACGGAGGGGGCUAGCGUUGUUCGGAAUUACUGGGCGUAAAGCGCGUGUAGGCGGCCAUCUAAGUCGGGCGUGAAAUCCCACGGCUCAACCGUGGAAGUGCACUCGAAACUGGAUGGCUAGAGUCCUGGAGAGGAAGGUGGAAUGCUUGGUGUAGAGGUGAAAUUCGUAGAUAUCAAGCGGAACACCGGUGGCGAAGGCGGCCUUCUGGACAGUGACUGACGCUGAGACGCGAAAGCGUGGGGAGCAAACAGG